rnacentral:lncRNA from 1 species
UAACGAGAACUAUCACCAGGCAGGAUGGAAUUUGGACCAAGAGCAAGGCUAAAGGAGUGAGACUGGGGCUGAAAUGAGGAGUGGGCCUAGAAGGCCAAAACCUAUUCUGCCUUGGCCCCCACCUCACCUUUCUCAGUCAGGGAGCUCAGUUUCCGGAGCCUGGGGAUAUUUUCAAAGAAAUGAACUGAGGCCAUCAUAAUGGAGCUUCCAGUUGCUGUUGAAAGGAUUCUCCCAGGCCAGCAGAAUUGAACAAAUCUAUGUGUGUCUGGCUGAGGCCAGAAGGAGUCUGGUGCUCCUGCUCCCAGCCCUGGAUCAAACUCUGUUUCUUUCUGGGAAGUCCUUCUUUUCUUUCUCACAUCUAAUCUUCAAGAUGCAGCAGAAAUUCCAUCCUCUUCCAGAAGCCUUAUCAGACAUCUCUCAG